rnacentral:tRNA from 1 species
CGGGGUGUAGGUCAUCGGUAGACCGCUCGGUUCGGGUCCGAGAGGCACUGGGUUCAAUUCCCAGCACCCCGACAA